CAGCAGCCGCGGUAAUACAGAGGGUGCGAGCGUUAAUCGGAUUUACUGGGCGUAAAGCGUGCGUAGGCGGCUUUUUAAGUCGGAUGUGAAAUCCCUGAGCUUAACUUAGGAAUUGCAUUCGAUACUGGGAAGCUAGAGUAUGGGAGAGGAUGGUAGAAUUCCAGGUGUAGCGGUGAAAUGCGUAGAGAUCUGGAGGAAUACCGAUGGCGAAGGCAGCCAUCUGGCCUAAUACUGACGCUGAGGUACGAAAGCAUGGGGAGCAAACAGGAUUAGAUACCCCUGUAGUCCCUGUCUCUUUACA
rnacentral:rRNA from 1 species